GACGAACGCUGGCGGCGUGCCUAAUACAUGCAAGUAGGACGCAGUUGCGAACGGGUGAGUAACGCGUAGCUCUCUGGCUAUUAGAGGGCGAUAAAUAGUGGAAACGAUAGCUAAUACCGCAUACACGUAGAUGUACCUGCGUUGUAUUAGCUAGUAGGUAGGGUAAGGGCGUACCUAGGCGCCGAUCAAUAGCCGAGCUGGGAGGGUGAUCGGCCACACUGGGACUGAGGCAGGGGCCAGAAUCCUACGGGAGGCUGCGGGAGGGAAUCAUCGGCAAUGGGGGGAACCCUGACCGAGCAACGCCGCGUGAGUGAAGAAGGUUUUCGGAUGAUAAAGCGCUGUUGUUAAGGAAGCGGUACUUAACCAGAAAGGGACGGCUAACUACGUGCCAGCAGCCGCGGUAAUAC
rnacentral:rRNA from 1 species